AGACAUCUUAUGUAAAAUCCACA
rnacentral:piRNA from 1 species